rnacentral:rRNA from 1 species
GAGGGAAACUUCUGAUAAUACUGGAUAAGUUAGUAUAUCGCAUGAUAUGCAAAUGAAAGCUACGGCACUAAAGGAGAGCUUUGCGUCCUAUUAGCUAGUUGGUAAGGUAAGAGCUUACCAAGGCGAUGAUAGGUAGCCGGCCUGAGAGGGUGGACGGCCACAAGGGGACUGAGAUACGGCCCUUACUCCUACGGGAGGCAGCAGA